UACGGAGGGUGCUAGCGUUGUUCGGAAUGACUGGGCGUAAAGGGCGCGUAGGCGGUUAUGUUAGUUAGAUGUGAAAUCCCAGGGCUUAACCUUGGAAUUGCAUUUAAUACUGCAUGACUUGAGAUCGGAAGAGGAAAGCGGAAUUCCUAGUGUAGAGGUGAAAUUCGUAGAUAUUAGGAGGAACAUCAGAGGCGAAGGCGGCUUUCUGGUCCGCAUCUGACGCUGAGGCGCGAAAGCGUGGGGAGCAAACAGG
rnacentral:rRNA from 1 species